rnacentral:misc_RNA from 1 species
GUUUUUUUCGGGACUGUGAUGAGGAGAGUUUGGAGCCGGUUAUGGUGGAUUUGUAUGAGAGGUUGAGGAGGAGUGUGGAGAGGGUGUCUGCUCUGGGGAACUUCCAACAGCCGCUGAGGGCGCUGUUGAAGCUGGUGGGGUAUCCGAACUGUGCGAAGGCGCUGGUGAAUCACCCGAGGUGGAUUCCGAAAGAUAUUUUUAUAUUGAUUGGAGAGGGGCGGGCAGUGGAGACGUCGAGCAUAUUGGGGGCGUUCUUUCAUGUCAGCGCUCUGUCGGAUUAUAAGGAUUUCAGGAGCAAACCUGAUGUUGGCCAACAAUGCUUCUCCGAGUCAUCUACUCGUCG